rnacentral:lncRNA from 1 species
AAAAAUCUACACAACAAACUUUACUAACUAGUCUUUGUCUACCAUUAAUUUUCCCAUGUAUUUGCCUUCCCACAAUUCGCCACCCAUAGAAACUUAAGGUCCUUAGAGUUCCCGUCGUGGCUCAGUGGUUAACGAAUCUGACUAGGAACCAGGAGGUUGCAGGUACAAUCCCUGGCCUCGCUCAGUGGGUUAAGGAUCUGGCGUUGCUGUGAGCUGUGGUGUAGGUCUCAGACGUGGCUCGGAUCCUGUGUUGCUGGGUGGAAUUGGAGCUGCAGCCGCUGGCCUAUGCCAGAGCCACAGCACAUGGGAAUCUGAGCUGCACCUGGAACCUAUACCAUAGCUCACGGCAAUGCCGGAUCCUUAACUCAUUGAGCAAGGCCAGGGAUUGAACCUGUAUCCUUAUGGAUGCUAGUUAGAUUCGUUAACUGCUGAGCCAUGAUGGGAACCCCUAAUGAGAAUAUUAAAAAGACCCACACUUUCUACCAUGCUCUCCAAAAAAUUUUAGGUGAAUUGAAAGUUAAACACUUAAAAAUCAAAACAAAUACACUCCCAUGUAUAUGAACAGACAAGCACUAGGGGAAAUCACUUUUUGAUUGUUGAUGGAAUAGAAAUGAAAAAAAAAAGAUGGACAGGUUCAUUACUUAGAUGGAAUGCAUAUCAAUCACCAAAGCUGAGAUUUAAAAAUUCAGAAGAAUGGAGAAAAUGUUUGCACAUCAACACAAAAGUUUAAUAACUGAAAAGUAUAAAGAGCUCAUAUAAAUGGGCAAAAAUACCAACUCUCCAUUAAACAAAUGAUUAAAAGACAGUUUCUAGAAGAAGAAACAUGACCUUAAAUCAUGAUUUUCAAAAUAUUCACUCAACUUUGUUGGUAAAAUAACUGCAAAUUGAACCUACUGUGAAGUUUCAUUUUGUCCUUAAAAAUAGAAUUAGAAGAACUUUUUAAAAGCGAUAAAACCCAAAGCCUGCAAGACUUCAGGAAAGUAGAUCUCAUGCAUUAAUGAUAGCAAUAUAAAUGGAGCCAGUCAUUUUGAAACACAAAAUGAUACUUUAUUGAAAGAAUCAUAAAUAUGCCUAACACCUAAGUAACAGAAUUUAUCCUGAGGAAAUCAGGUUUAAUAAGAAAAAAAGUGUACAUAUACAAUAUUUAUUUAUUGAUAGUAAAACAUUAGAAGAAAGCUAAGAUCCCAACAAUGCCAAAAUAUAGAAGCUAACUGUAGUAUAUCAAAAUGAUCUACUCAAGUAAUAUACUAAAAAUGCGAAGAUGAUGCAGGAAGUAGAAGACGUUUGGUUAAAUCAUGUGACCUAAAAGGAAGAACAGUGAAUUGUGUGUAUGCACCCAUUAUAACUGUCAAAGAACCGUGAAUAGGUGAAUACGUAAAGAUAAAGAAGGCAACAGGACAGGUGGAAGAUGUUUCCAGCUGGGUUAAGAUCAACAGACUUGGAGUGAAUGAUUCUGUAAGGUUGUUACAAUUCCAUUUUAAAAGAAUUUAAUAUUGCCCUAGCAAGAGCAGGAUUUUCUUUGCAAGAGGCUGAAUUGACUUACAGAAAUGUGGUGAGUUGCUGCCUUCUUGGCUGGAUAGAUGGAAAGAUGACGAUGUUCUCAUUUUUGUUAUGUGAACUUUACUGAAACUAUAUUUUCAUAGAAAGAAUAAAAGCCCAGAACUAAAUGUUGGUCAAGUGACUUGCCUGAGUCCAGGGGAAUGUUCUGGAGGGGAGGAAAAAUAACGUUCCCUCUACCCUUCCGAGUUCUUGGUUAAGACCCCUGUAAUAAAAGACAAACAAGAGACAAACAGAAGUUCAUUAUAUGUAUACCGCACGUACACGUGGGCAAUACCCAGGGAGAAUGAAUAACUACCCAGGUGGCUUGGCUUAGAAACCAGACUUAAAUACCAUCUUAUAGGGAAAGAGAAGGGGGAUGUAGGUCACUGGGGGAGAGUCAAUGAAUUUUCGAAAAGGUGAAUCUUAGAAGAAUAGAUGGGAAAUGUGACAGUGUGUGACAAAAUGUUUCUGGGUGUGGUGUCCACUUCUAGUCUCCUCUCCUGUGAAAAGAGUUGUAUCUUCCCUGGCUGAUGAAACCCUUGGGGAGGGGAAUUUAUGACCGAGUUCCUUAUGGAGGAGCUGUCAUUAGGCAGAUAGGGGCGUACAGACAAAGCCUCGCCUGGCAUUUGCCAUUUUCUAUGUGCCUACAGCUCAAAAUAAACAAUAUAUCAAAGCAGCAUAUCUGGGGGGAGGCAGGUCCUGAACUCCUACAGUCAUAUUUUGGGGUAGCCUGUUCUACUAUCCUUUAGUUCUGAGACUGUUAGUAAAGAAGAAUGUUUCCUAGUAAGUGGACAGAAAGGAACUAUUAGGGCCUCGCUACAUGCCAGAAAGUAAUUUGAAAAGUGGGACCACAGUGGGUAGAAUUGUGUCCCCAAAAGAUAUGUUGAGGUCCUAACCCCAAACCCAUAAUUGUAGCAUUUGGAAAGAGGGUCUUUGCAGAUGGAAUCAAGCUAAAAUGAAUUUAUACUGGAUUGGAGUAAAGCCUAAUCUGAUGGCUGGUGUCCUUAUAAGAAGAUGGAAGGCAGGUACCAGAAAGAUACCAUGUGACAAUUGUGGCAGAGACUGGAAUGAUGCAGCCGCAAGCCAAGGGAUGCCAAGGACCGGGGGCAACCACAGAAGCUAGGAGGGAGGCAUGAGUUUGCUCCAUCAGAGCCCCCAGGAAGAACCAACCCUGCCAACACCUAGAUUUUGAACUUCUGGCUCUAGAAUUGUGAGAGAAUAAACUUUUCUUUUAAG